CCAAAUGUUCUGAUUCUUUCUGCAAUGUAGUACUGGAGCAAUAGGGCAUGUGAGCAACAGGAAGACAAUAGACUUUCACUACCAGGGGCUCAGCAAAUCUCUGUCCCCAGAGAUUCUUAUGGCCUUUGAUUUUGUUUCCAUCAAUGGAAAUAUGCCCUUUUUUUCUCUCUCAUUUUCCAUAUAAACUCCCCUCCUUUGUCACAGUCUCGGCUUUACAUAUAAGUUCUUCCAUUGUUGCAUCAAGUGCAUUUCACUGUAAAGUGUGACCACCAACUGCAGAAAAAGGAAUCUGGAAAAACUCAUGGAAGGCAGCAGAGGCAGCUCUUGUGAACCUCCAGCAGGCAAGGCAGCAAUAUCAGAGUUGGAAACACUGCAGAAACAGUACGAGGAGAAACGAGUGAAGAUCCAAGACCUCCAUAAACAAAUCGAAAUCGCAAAGCUUCGAUUGGAGGAGAAGAAGAAGAAGAAGGAGGAAAUCCCAGAUGAGAAAAAAGAAGCUUUCAAUGAACUGUGCCAGAAAUACAACAGUCUGAGAGAGGAAUAUAUUGCACUGUCAAGG